CUCAUGGAUUUGCUGAAGUCAAGGCCGGAUCUGGUCGAGAUUCACCGUCGGACGUCGGGUCAUCUCCUAAGCACUGAGCUCCGGCGAGAGGUGGAGGAGCUCCGACGAGAGGUGGAGGAGCUCCGGCGAGAAGUGGAGAUCCAUGACUUGUGCAUUCCUAUAUGGUGUUUUUUGAGAGGAAGGUAAAUGAACGCCAGUAGCGGCAAGCUCUUCUAGUUCACCCUCCACCUGCCUAGCUCCUCCCUCCUCUAUGGGAUCUCCGACAUGGAAUCAGGCCCUCUACGUCCACCAAUGCGGCGGUUCAGCUCCGGCGUAAGUCAAAAUCAAUUUGGGUGCCAGAUUUGGGUGCCCAGAGCAACUUCUUUAGUUAAAAAUGAUGAUUUACUAAGGUAAUAGAUUUAUUACUGGGAGGUAGUAAAUUUACUGUGUCUAUUGGCUAAGGAGAUACUUUAUUGCAAGUUUACUUCCCCUAUUAGAAGUUUACUAGGGGUAGUAAACUUUACUUUUCAGCAUAUAAGUUGAUUUUUUUCUCUAUUUUAAUGUGUAUAGUGACUAUGGAGAUAUUGUAUUGCAUGUUUACUACCCCCAGUAGAUGUUUACUAGGGGUAGUAAACUUUAAUUUUUCGCAUAUAAGUUGGGUUUUGUUGUUUUAAAGUGUAUACUGACCUGGGAAAUAUUGUAUUGCAGGUUUACUACCCCUAGUAGAAGUUUACUAGGGGCAGUAAACUUUAUUUGUCUGCAUCUAAGUUGAUUUUUUUGUGUGUUUUAAUGUAUAUACUGACUAGGAAAAAUAUUGUAUUGCAAGUUUACUACCCCCAGUAAAAUUUACUAGGGGUAGUAAACUUUAUUUUUUCACAUUUAAGUUGAUUUUUCAUUGUUUUAAUGUGUAUAAUGGCAGUAGAGCUACUGUUUUGCAAGGUUACUACCCCGAGUAAAAAGUUUACUACACAUCUAAGUUGAUUUUUCUCUUUUUCAAUGUGAAUUAUGGCAUCGGAGCUACUGUUUUGCAAGUUUACUACCCCCAGUAAAAGUUUACUAGGGGUAGUAAACUUCAUUUUUUCGCAUCUAAGUUGAUUUUUCUCAUUUUUCAAUGUGAAUUAUGGCAUUGGAGCUACUGUUUUUCCAAGUUUACUACCCCCAGUAAAUUCAUUUUUUCGCAUCUAAGUUGAUUUUUUCUCCUUUUUCAAUAUGAAUUAUGUCAUUGGAGCUACUGUUUUGCAAGUUUACUACCCCUAGUAAAAGAUUACUACCUCCAGCAGAAGUUUACUAGGGGUAGUAAAAUUCCGGCCACCGGAUGUCGGCAAUUUUCCGGCAGUCGGAAAAUUCCUGUCACCGAUGACUGGAUUCCGGUGGCCGGAGUUCGGAGUCCGACGACAGGAAUGCGGCCGCCGGGGACUGGUGCCGGAGCCCGGUGUGCUUCCGGCAAAGUCUUCCCUCCAUCUUUUUCACUUUUUCUCUUUAAGUAAAAGCUAAGGGUAAAAAAGUCUUUAAAAUUAUAA
rnacentral:lncRNA from 1 species